rnacentral:rRNA from 1 species
UCGUUCCUACGGGGGGCAGCAGUGGGGAAUAUUGCACAAUGGGGGAAACCCUGAUGCAGCGACGCCGCGUGAAGGAAGAAGUAUUUCGGUAUGUAAACUUCUAUCAGCAGGGAAGAAAAUGACGGUACCUGACUAAGAAGCCCCGGCUAACUACGUGCCAGCAGCCGCGGUAAUACGUAGGGGGCAAGCGUUAUCCGGAUUUACUGAGUGUAAAGGGAGCGUAGGCGGGACGGCAAGUCAGAUGUGAAAACUGAGGGCUCAACUUUCAGACUGCAUUUGAAACUGCUGUUCUUGAGUGAAGUAGA